rnacentral:rRNA from 1 species
GAUGAACGCUGGCGGCGUGCCUAAUACAUGCAAGUCGAGCGAACAGACGAGGAGCUUGCUCCUCUGAUGUUAGCGGCGGACGGGUGAGUAACACGUGGAUAACCUACCUAUAAGACUGGAAUAACUUCGGGAAACCGGAGCUAAUACCGGAUAACAUGUUGAACCGCAUGGUUCAACAGUGAAAGACGGUCUUGCUGUCACUUAUAGAUGGAUCCGCGCCGCAUUAGCUAGUUGGUAAGGUAACGGCUUACCAAGGCAACGAUGCGUAGCCGACCUGAGAGGGUGAUCGGCCACACUGGAACUGAGACACGGUCCAGACUCCUACGGGAGGCAGCAGUAGGGAAUCUUCCGCAAUGGGCGAAAGCCUGACGGAGCAACGCCGCGUGAGUGAAGAAGGUCUUCGGAUCGUAAAACUCUGUUAUUAGGGAAGAACAAAUGUGUAAGUAACUAUGCACGUCUUGACGGUACCUAAUCAGAAAGCCACGGCUAACUACGUG